UACGUAGGGGGCAAGCGUUGUCCGGAUUUAUUGGGCGUAAAGAGCGUGUAGGCGGCCAGGUAGGUCUGCUGUGAAAACUCGAGGCUUAACCUCGAGCUGUCGGCGGAAACCAUCUGGCUAGAGUCCGGAAGAGGAGAAUGGAAUUCCCGGUGUAGCGGUGAAAUGCGCAGAUAUCGGGAAGAACACCCGUGGCGAAAGCGGUUCUCUGGGACGGUACUGACGCUGAGACGCGAAAGCGUGGGGAGCGAACAGG
rnacentral:rRNA from 1 species